AUGAUUCUCGAUAGGCGUUCCGUCGGCCCGGCUACUUCCGGGAAAAUGGCGUCGGCCGGGAGAGCGGCUUUGGCGGCGGUUGCCAGGGUCUCCGCCAAGCGAGGGGCGGCCGGGCUGGGCGCUCCCCGGGCCCGCAGGCAUAGGGCGGGACCCUGGCUGGCCGCCGCCGCCGCCACCUCCUCCCUCAUCGGAGGGGCCGCCUUGUUGGACGCUUCUUUCCGAAGGUGGCGAGGGGGCCCUGGAGGCUUGACAGUCCUGGCUCAGGAAACAACUGAUUUUAAUGACUGAACAAACAGUGCUGUCUUAUGAGGAGAACUGCCUAAUUCAUAGCCAGUUUUUGUAGAGCCAACCAAAUACCUAUGAAGUUUUGGAAUCUCCAAAUCUCUUCAUGGAAAAUAUUACAAACAGUAAGUUAUGUGUAUGUAUCCUGAUGUGGAAGAUAUCAGACUCUCAACCAUGCCAAUUUUUAGAGAGGAUCACAAUCAGUCCCCUUCCCUUUCUCUUUCUCCUAACAAGUUGAUUCUUUCUGUUUGUUUUCCCAUUAUUUUUUUCAUUGUCUUCCACCUCCCAAUUUCUGGUGGAAUGGCUGAAGGUGAUUUGCUUCAGAGUGUUUUUAAACUGAGCUAAAAUACAUGUAAGAUCUUUGUUAUAACAGAGCAGAAACUGCGCUUUAACAUUGCAGAAACACAGCUUUGCUGCUCCGUAUUGUGUUUUAGGCUUGAUCUACACUGCCAUAUAAUCCAGUUUCAGAAUGCAGAUUAACUGCAUUGAAUUGGAUUAUAUGGCAAAGUAGAUUCAUAUGGCAGAAUAGAUUCAUAUAAUCCCAAUUUCAAUGCAUUUAAUCUUGCAAUUCUGAAACUGGAUUAUAUGACAGUGUAGAUCCAGCCGUAGUAUACUUACAUUAUGGUUGCUAUGAAGUGAGGCUGAGCUUGAAAAUGACUAGGAGAGAAACAGCCUGUGCUUGUAUUCUCAAUGGUUUUCAAUAUUGCAGAAACAAGACUAUUGAGUAUUGAAAUGGUACAAAGGUUUUUCCUUCUGAGGCAGCAAUUAAAUUUUGUAUAUUUGAGACAAGGAGUUCCAUAGACCCCAGUUCUCAAUGUUUUUGUGGGGGGAAGAGAGGAGAUAACACGUCAUUGUUCCGUCAUAUUCUUACAUUACAUAAAUGAUUUAUACAUUAAAAACUUAAGAUGUCUGUCACUGAUAAGACAUGUGUGCCAAGUAAUUGUUUUAUUUUGGUUUUUAUGCCCUUUGGUUCCUAUUUAAAAUUUUACUUUAGUAGAAAUAAUAACAUACAACUUUACAACCCAUCCAAUUCCUUGAGAUUAUGGCACUAGUUCUUAUAUUGCUGUUUUCAUAGAAUCAUAGAAUCAUAGAGUUGGAAGAGACCCCAUGGGCCAUCCAGUCCAACCCCCCUGCAAGAUGCAGACUUGCUGAAUUACAAGUAUACCUCAGUUAAUGAAGUGGAUAUGUUCUAGGACACAACUUCUUUAACAGAAAAUUUGGUACAAAAGGCAAAAUAACAUGGAAAUAAUAUUUGAUAUGUUUCAGCAAAAAAUUAAAAACUAGCAAAUGUAUGUGUGCAUGUAAAAUGAAAUACACAGAUUGUAGCAAACAUUCUGCUAUAACCAAACUCACAAUAUCUGUUUGUGCUGUCCUACUUCAUUGUCUUCCUGAAGUGAUGCUGCUAAAAAAACUUCUAGAUUGAGAACCAGGAUAUAAAGGGUGAGCAGGUGUUAAAAAACUUUAUUAAAAGGAGCCUCUUUAUCAGAAGCUUUGUUAAAGUACUUGGCUAAAAGUUUACUAGUCUGAUUGUUUUUGUUCAGAAAUGGCAUACGCAGUAUUAUUUUUAUGCUAAUAGCAACAAUUCCAUCUCUGUUAUUUCACGUUUGGGUGAAACUCUGAAAUCAGCGUAGUUGCAAAAAUUGAUAUUAUAAUCCUGAUCUACAUUGAGCAGAAGCUAGUUCAGCUUUAACGUACUUGGUUUCUCCAGUUUCUCCCACAUCAAAGUUGGAAAAGUAGCUUUCACAGAUGCAACUGUAGCUCCAGAGUGGACUCUCUCUUAAUUUUUGAGCUAAAAUAUGGUGGUGUGUAUAACUGGAUAAUUUCAGAAGGAUACAAUCAUCUGGAAAUGGUCUAUAAAGUUUUUUUGCCUAAACAUUUGUCACAUUAAUGUUUUAUUGGUGUGCCACAAGGAAUGAGACUUAAAUAUAUUACAAGCUGAAGUUGUAGAUUAAUAUUUAUGUUAACAGAAUAACAGCCACUUUAGAUGUUAACAACUAGCAUUCAACUAUUUUCAGUGGAGUUUCAGGGAGAAUCUGUAUGUUGGCUCUUUCACGGCAGCAAGGACUCAGAUUUGGUGAUGAAUGCAAGGAAAUCCUGGGUUUAUUCCCAAAGUGUUCCUAGUUAAACAGAUUUAGGAUAUUGGGGAGUUACUGCAACUUAUGUUAAUAGAAAUAGAAACCUGAUAAAAAUAGUAACAGAUCUAACUCAUCUUUUUAAAAAAAUUACAGUUUAAUGUUGUUUUGGAUAGUGCAUCAGCACUUGUAAGUUUUCAGUCUAACAGCAUUAAUACUGGUAUGUACAACAGAACACAGCCUACUGUACGUGAAGUUACACCAAAAAACAAACAAACAACUAUUUAGUACAGUAGGCUGUUUUCUGUUGUACAUACCAGUAUUAAUGUUGUUAGACUGAAAACUUACAAGUGCUGGUGCACUAUCCAAAACAACAUUAAACUGUAAAGUUUGUUUAAAAAAAAAAGAUGAGCUAGAUCUGUUACUAUUUUUGUCAGGUUUCUAUUUCUACACAAAAAAUAUAUAUAUGUUAUGUAUGUGACCUUAAAAUGGUUAACUGCAAUCCUUUAAGACAGAGGAUCCCAUACCACAGUAUAAAUAACGAUAUAGGUGCCAACCACAAAUGAGCAGAAAAUAACUUGUCUGACUUUAAAGUCAUGUGAUUUGAUUGCAUCACUUUUGAAAAAUAGCUGAGAAGGGAAGGGUUGAAUUUAUGGAAUACAGCAGGACUAUGUUUGUCUUUAACACCUAUGAGUUUGAGAGGGAGGGAAUGUUAAUGAAAACUCAAGCUUUUUAACAGCUGGGACUUUAAGAAAAAGCACCUGAGAUCUUGAAGGUGGCAGUAAAAUCACACCAGCUUUUAACUAGUCAGUCUUUUAAAAAUUAACUGUGGUAAAAACCUGAAGGUAGUUUUGAGAAUGAGAUAGAAAACCACAUCUAAUGUACCAUUUAGUAUAAAGUAGUAACAAUUUGGCAUAGAGAUGCAUUGGGAAAAUAGCAUGUAUUGAACAAACAAAUAGUGCAAUAAAGGAAACAUUUCUUCUACAUAAAAAAUAUUUGGGGCCAAAAAUAAUGAUAUGAGUGUUUUUCAAAACCUCAAUGUUGCCAACGUCUGCUAAAGUACUUUUUUGAAAGCUAUAAUAGCAGAUGUUUUGGCUUUUUCCUACACAUAUAGGAAAUAGGUAUAUUGUGGACUUGGUGUAUUUGUGGAACCAGCAGUGUAACAGUAUGAUAGAACUGUGGUGGAAAACACGAUUCUCUGCAUCUUGUUAUAUUUAUAUUAUCACUCCUAUAUGGGUUUUUAUUAUGUGAUUUGCAUAAUCCAUUAGAGUUUUAUAUACACUGCCUCUCUUUAUAAAAAAAAGUCUCUAUCUGUAAUCCUAUGAUUUAGUUUGUCGAAGAAUUAAAUAUGCACAUUGAUAAAACUAGGAUUGGUGUUUUUUGCUUCUGUUUAUUUAUUGCUUCCAGAUAGUUAUUUUAAUUUCAACACCUUUCACAUUUCUUAUUUUUGUUGUGGAUGUCAAACAUCUAUGCAUCAAAUUUGUUGUAGUAGAGCCUGUGA
rnacentral:lncRNA from 1 species